rnacentral:sRNA from 1 species
GCCAGCGCGAUGUGAAAUUCGACGCCAUUCGUCAGGCGGUGAUAGAUCGCGACCGAGAAAGCGAA